CCUACGGGUGGCAGCAGUGAGGAAUAUUGGGCAAUGGACGCAACUCUGACCCAGCAAAGCCGCGUGAAUGAUGAAGGUCUUCGGGUUGGAAAGUUCUUUUCUACGGGGAGAAGAAAGUGACGAUACCUUAGGAAUAAGCCUCGGCUAACUACAUGCCAGCAGCCGCGGUAAUACGUAGGAGGCAGGCGUUAUCCGGAAUGACUGGGCGUAAAGGGUGCGUAGGGGGUUUGUCAAGUUAGUCGGGCAACUCCGGGGCUCAACUCCGGAACUACUACUAAAACUGGUGGCCUUGAGUGCAGGAGAGGUAAGCGGAAUUCCUGGUGUAGCGGUGGAAUGCGUAGAUAUUAGGAGGAACACCAGUGGCGAAGGCAGAUUGCUAGCCUGUAACUGACACUGAGGCACGAAAGCGUGGGGAGCGAACAGGAUUAGAUACCCCGGUAGUC
rnacentral:rRNA from 1 species